rnacentral:rRNA from 1 species
GCCGAACGCUGGCGGCGUGCUUAACACCUGCAAGUCGAACGGAGUGGCGAACGGGUGAAGAACACGGGGGUGACCUGCCCUGCACUUCGGGAUAAGCAUGGGCAACUAGGUCUAAACACGGAUAGUGUGGAAUGGGCCCGCGGACUAUCAUCUUGUUGGUGGGGUAAUGGCCUACCAAGGCGGCGACGGGUAGCCGGCCUGAGAGUGUGGACGGCCACCUAGGGACUGAGACACGGCCCAGACCCCGACGGGAGGCAGCAGUGGGGAAUAUUGCCCAAGGGGCGGACGCCUGAUGCAGGGACGCCGCGUGGGUGAUGACGUCCUUCGGGUUGUAAACUCCUGUCACCAUCGACGCGGUAGAUGGAGAAGAAGCACCGGCUAACUACGUGACAGCAGCCGCGGUAAUAC